rnacentral:rRNA from 1 species
UACGUAGGGUGCAAGCGUUAAUCGGAAUUACUGGGCGUAAAGCGCGCGUAGGCGGCUUUGUAAGUUAGAGGUGAAAGCCCAGGGCUUAACCCUGGAAUUGCCUUUAAGACUGCAUCGCUAGAAUCGUGGAGAGGUGAGUGGAAUUCCUGGUGUAGCGGUGAAAUGCGCAGAUAUCAGGAGGAACACCAAUGGCGAAGGCAGAUCUCUGGGCCGUAACUGACGCUGAGGAGCGAAAGCAUGGGGAGCGAACAGG